ACAAAAGCAUAAUAUCUGAGCGCUUCCAAGUGUCUGAAGAGAUGGAGAUUCAGCCUUGAAGAGACUGGGGGUAGUUUGUACCCCCUUUAUAUGGAUAAAUCUCUCCCAGCCACUCCAGCCCUGUCUUGGAGGGCUGCCGGAUCCAAACCCAGGAGUGAUACGGAGUAGAAAUGGAGACCCCAGAGACAGCACAGCCCACUUCCCCUUUUUGUACCACUCCCACUUUGCUCUGUGUCACUGUGUCGCGGGCACAGUAAUAGGCGGCGGUGUCUGUGGCUGUCGGGGAGCGGAGCUGCAGGGAGAACUGGUUCUUGGAGGAAUCUACUGUGAUGGUGAUCCUGCUUUGGAGAGAUGGGGCGUAGAUCGUGCUCCCACCUUUAGUUAUACGUCCCAUCCAUUCCAACCCUUUCCCGGGACUCUGCCGGAUCCAGCUCCAGUAGCAACAGCCACUAGAGAUGAUACCGCUGGAAUCUCCAGAGACGGCGCAGCCAUCACUGUGUCAAUUGCGUCUGAAAAAGGGCACCUGGGAAGAACAGGGAUGGGAGAAUUCAAAGCACAAGCAACCACACAGAAGGAAGAAGGGAUCCAUAACACACACAAAAAUGGUAUUAGACAAAUAACUACAUCCCACUGCCUCCUAACAAAACUCAGAGGACCACAGGAUAACAAGGUAAAGGGAAAUGAUCAAAGCUUUAAUCGUUCUUUUAUGGGAAGAUUCAAGGAGAAUGAAACUGUCCAUUCAAGAUUCGGAUGGACAAAAUCCUCUGGGAGUUUCUAU